UACAGUUAUAGCAGAGUCAUAGAACCCUGGUUGGUUCACUAUGGCAUUCCCCCCUUGCAAAAAAGGGGAUGCCUUGAGCAAGCCAAAGGUCGAAAAAAUCUAGGUUUUGGGGGCGGAGCUUAUUUUUUCCGCCAACGGUCGUAGCGCCGUCUGGGAGAAUACUAAGAAACUUUCGGUAGUGAAGAGAACCGAGAGAACAGAGGGAAAAAAUGGCGGCUAAGCGUCGGUGCGCUGUAGCUGGCUGUCAAGUGAUGUAUGGAAAAGAAAACUCUAAAGAAAACGGAAUGACUUUUUUCCAGAUUCCACCAUCCUCUUUCACUGAUUAAAAGUCGUUGGUUUCUUCCAGUAAUUUGACGUCUAAUUCCCGUUUGUGUAGUCGUCAUUUUGACGAUGCCGACAUUGUGAAGGGUAGGACAAUUGGGGGAACUUUUUUUCGCAUUUGAACGUUGGAACUUGAAAAGUGAUGCAAAGCCCAAGCAUUUACUGAACCUUGAUCAACCAGUGCCAACCCGAGAACUGAAGAGUUUUAGACAGCCAUUUCAAGAGAGGCCCAACGAUAACCACAAAGGGAAAACCCUGGUCCAUCGGAACAAUGUAAAACAGGGACUACAGACCAAGACCUUUUAUCAAUGUGGGCCUCGAGCACUAAAGAAAGAAGUUGGGCAUGCUGGUGGCAGCAGUUGGUCUUGUCUAUCGUUGCAAAGAAAAGAUAAAGAAACGGUUUCAUCAACGUCUUUUCUUGUUCCUCGCCAGAUUCAUAAUAUUUAUUUUUUUACAAUAACUAACGGGUAAUUUUUUUUUGUUUUUAAGUGAAGAAUAAAAAGAUCUCCAACCUGA